UUUCUCGUGAGAGGUAACCUGGAGGAAUUAAUCAGGAAAUCAUCGAAAAAAAAAAAAUGAACCAGAAUUAGCGAAAACCAAAGAUUUUUUGUUUUUGAGUUUUCGUUCCUGAGUGGAAACUAUUUUGG
rfam:Aedes albopictus isolate Foshan contig119761, whole genome shotgun sequence.